GAGGCACAUGGAAUGACCGUACUGUAUGAUGCUUUAAAUCAAGGCAUUGAAGAACUGGCUAAAGUUAAAGCGAGAUUUCCAGACUGCAGACGUCGCAUUCUGUGUUUGACUGAUGGUCAAGAUACUGAAUCAGUAUCCAAGCCAGUUGAUGUGGUGGAAAAACUGAUGGAAUCGAACAUCGUGGUUGAUGCUGUGAUUGUUGGUGAGGUAGGAAACACAGUGCUGCAUGGAAUCAGCAACGUCACAGGAGGAUGCUGUUUUAAACCUGAAACGAUUAAAGAGGCUUUGCAGCUGUUUGAGAUGGAAACAGUUUUGUCGAUGGAGCUGAGAAAAGAGAAACC